CCAUUCAUGUGAACUUCACAUUUUCUCAUUUGAUCAGGAAGAACUUCUGUGAGAGAAGGACCAUGACUUGAAGGUUAAUAAAUGGUAUGAUAUAUCCAGUGGAUGUGUCUGUCUGUAAUUCACUUUGGAAUUAGAGUCCUUCUGAAACCUUACUUCGAAUAUAAAUCACCUGGGAAUCCUACUAAUGCAGAUUCUGAUUCAGCAGGUGGGUUAAGCUUGGAGGGGACCCUGAGAUCCACAUUUCUAACAGCUUUCAAGAGAUUCUGCCGCUGCUGAUCUCUAAACACUUUGAAUAGCCAGGGUAUCCAGUACUAAGUUUACAAAGGACUUGCUCAUACAUGAUCUCGUUUGAGCCUCACCCAAGCCCUGUGUGAUGUCCAUUAUUAUUUCUACCUUAGAGAUGAGAAACCGAGGGUCUGAUUAGAAAUAGCUACCCUGGGAAUUCUCCUGUGCUGCAGCUAGUUAAGGAUCUGGCUUUGUCACUACAGUGGCUGGGGGCACCGCUCUGGCUCAGGUGUGAUCCCUGGCCUGGGAACGUCCACAUGCUGCAAUUGUAGCCAAAAAAAAAAAAAAAGAAAGAAAAGAAAAGAAAAGAAAUGGCUACCCUUUUUAAGUGUUAGGUAUUUAUUUCUAGGGAUGCAAUUGCAAACAAGACAGAUAUGGAACUUAUUUAAAGAAACUGACAGUCCAGGAAGGAAGACUCUGAAUAAUCAUAUUGGAAAAGUUCUGAGUGUCUUCAUGGAUGUUAUGCUCUGGAUGUUGCCAUUCAUCAUAAGAGGGAGCAAACCAGGCUUGGGACACGGGGGCAUGAUGAAGAACUUAGAAUGGGCUCCUACAAUAGGAACCUGUCUGAACAGUGAUUAUGGAUUGGCAGAAAAAGAGGAGCCCACAAAAAGGAACAAGAAGCAUCCAUCAGGAAGAUAGGAGGAAAACCACAGAAGCUGAGGAAGGAGUGGUUCAUCACUGAUAAUGGGAUAAGCCAGUAUUACCUGCCUCCUGAAAACCAUGCUCCAAGAAGGGCACAAUGUCAGUUCAAUAGUAUCCAUGCCAAGAAAUGCAUAUCCAGAAUCUAAUCCUGAGAAAGCAUCAGACAAACCCAAAUUGAGGAACAUUCUACAAAACAACUGUAUUCUUCAAAAAUAUUUACAUCUUGGAGUCCCCUGGUGGCCUAGCAUUUAAGGAUCUGGCAUUGUCACUACUGUGGCACUGGUUCGGUCCAUGGCCUGGUAACUUCUUUCUGCAUGCCAGCGGGUGUGGCCAAAACAUUCUACACCUUGAAAAACUAAGGAAAUGUUCCAGAUAAAAGGAGACUAAAGACAUGACAACAAAAUGCAAUGUAUGAUUCUUGAUUUGAUCUUAGAUCAGAAUAAAAUCACUAUAAAAGACAUAGGAACACUUUUAAAUAUUUUAAAACAGGUUAUCUCUUAGGUAAGAGUUAGCUAUAAACUGAAUGUUUGUAUCCCCUGCGAGAUUCACAUGUUAAAUCCUAAGCCCCUGAGGUGAUGAUAUUUGGAAGUAAGGCCUUUGGGAGACGAUUGGGUUAUGAGGGUGGGGCCUUCAUGAAUGGGAUUAGUGCCCUUAUAAAAGAGGUUCCAGAGAGUUUCCUUGCCCUUUCUGUCUUAUGAGGGGCAUCUUCUGUGCCCCUCAUAAGAUGACUGUCUAUGAAACAGUGAGCCCUGCCUCACCAGACACUGAAUCUGCUGGCACCUUAACCUCGGACUUCCCAGCCUCCACAACUGUGAGAAAUAAAUUUCUGUUGUUUAUAAGCCACCCGGUCUGUGGUAUUCUGUUAUAGAAACCCAGAAGGGCUAAGACAAUAAUAUUUCAUCAAUGUUAUUUUUCCAGAAUUUGAUCAUUGUGCUGUGAUGAUUCAAUAUAAAGUAUUUGUUCCUAGGAAAUGCAUUGAAGUAUUGAGAAAUGAAGGGUUGUAAUGUCUGCAGCUUACUCUUCCAUGGUCCUGAAAAAAAAAAAGGACAAACGUAAGGCAAAAAAAUAUUAAUUGAUGAAUAUGGAUGAAGGAGAUACGAGUAUUUACUAAUUUUACAACUUUUCUCAAGUUUUCUAUAGAAAACUUUCCAAAUGAAGUGUUAGAGAAGUGGUAUGUACAGUGUAAAUUCUUGGGAGAAGUCAGGUCAUGAUAAAUGUCAAAGGUGUCCAUUGGAUUUAGCAACAUGGAUUUAGCCUUGAAUUCAUGGCACUUAUAUUCUAGAAAGAAACUCAUAAAUGAAUAUAUAAUUACGGAUUGAAAUAGGGGUUGGGAAAAAAAAAAAAAAACACAGAAUGCCUGUGAGAGAAUGACAUGGAUAUAAUGAGUGUUUUGGUCAGACCAGUUCUAGUGGAGUGGAGGGUGGAAUAGCCAGCCCGCAGUGGCAUGAUCAGGGGGAAGAGGGUAUGGAAAUUGUGAGGGUAGAUGCCUUCUUCUAGAAGCUUGGGUAAAGAGCAGGGAUCUAUAGAGAGCAGCCACUAGAGGGAGAGGUGGGGUCGAGGUGGAGUCAAUGUGGAAACAGGAGAGUCAAGGAAGGUUUGGGAGAGGUGGUUACAUUUUCACAGGGGUUUUGAAGGAGGAGGAAAGUGCAUCUUCUGUACAUGGGGAGCGAGGCUGGGCACUGGGGAAUUGGGUGUGUUUUGAGCACAGAAUGGGUGGUGGUGGCGUGAUAGGGGCAGCUGAGACAGCAGGUACGGAUUAGAUUUAGAAGAACUUUAUGUUCCAGGCUGAGUACCUUAGCCUUGGCCUGGAGGGGUUAAACCUCUUAUCUCAUGUCUCAGCUGGAAGAUCACAGGUUUGGAAGUGCAACCCUCAUCCCAGUCUCCUCUAUAGGUAGGAAAAUGUGUUUUAUGAAGUGCUCCUAGGUACUCCAGCCAGAAGCCAAGGUACCGUCCUUGCCAGCACCCUCUUCCAGCUCCCACACAGGGAAGCCCUUCUGUUCUACCUCCUGACUGUGUCCGUUUACAGUUCUCCACCUCCACUGCCGCCACCCUGGUCCAAACAUGGUCAUGUCCCCUGUUGCAACUUCUUCUCCCUCUCCACUCACCAGAUGACAAGUUACUUAACGAUGCAAAUUGAACCACCUCCCCCUCCUCAAAAAUGAUUCUAUGAUUUCGUUUUAUCAUUCAGGGGAAAUUGUGAAGCUCUUCAGCAUGGCAGGUCAGGUCCUGGCUUCUGCCUCCCUCUCCAGCCUUACUGUGUCCCUCCUGCCUCUUCUUUACUCAACUCCAACUUUAAGUUUCUUGGGUUUUCAAUUCUUUGGUGGGGCAAAGCUCUCUUCUGACUCUGGGUCUUUGUCUUUCACUCUCUUCCCUCUGCCUCUCUUUUCCCUUUGCCUGAUUAACCCCUGUAUUGUUUUGAUAGUGCUGCUGUAAUGAAAUAACCAGAGACUGAAUGGCUUAAACAACAUAAACUUGUUUUUUUCACAGUUCUGGAGGCUACAGGUGUGAGGUCUAGCUGUCAGCAUCUUGGUUUCUUCUGAGGCCUUGCUCCUUGGCUUGUAGAUGGCUGUCUUCUCCCUGGGUCUUAAUAUGCUCUUCCGUGUGUGUAUCUGCCUCUGAAUUUCCUCUUCCUAUAAGGACACUAGUCAUAUUGGAUUAAGACUUACCCUGGAGUUCCCAAUGUGGGGCAGCAAAUUAAGAACCAGGGAGUUCCCGUCGUGGCGCAGUGGUUAACGAAUCCGACUAGGAACCAUGAGGUUGCGGGUUCGGUCCCUGCCCUUGCUCAGUGGGUUAACGAUCCGGCGUUGCCGUGAGCUGUGGUGUAGGUUGCAGACGCGGCUCGGAUCCUGCGUUGCUGUGGCUCUGGCGUAGGCCGGGGGCUACAGCUCCGAUUCAACCCCUAGCCUGGGAACCUCCAUAUGCAGCGGAAGCGGCCCAAAGAAAUAGCAAAAAGACAAAAAAAAAAAAAAAAAAAA
rnacentral:lncRNA from 1 species